GCGUGAGUGAAGAAGGCCUUCGGGUUGUAAAGCUCUUUUGUCAGGGAAGAAACGGUGAGAGCUAAUAUCUCUUGCUAAUGACGGUACCUGAAGAAUAAGCACCGGCUAACUACGUGCCAGCAGCCGCGGUAAUACGUAGGGUGCAAGCGUUAAUCGGAAUUACUGGGCGUAAAGCGUGCGCAGGCGGUUUUGUAAGUCUGAUGUGAAAUCCCCGGGCUCAACCUGGGAAUUGCAUUGGAGACUGCAAGGCUAGAAUCUGGCAGAGGGGGGUAGAAUUCCACGUGUAGCAGUGAAAUGCGUAGAUAUGUGGAGGAACACCGAUGGCGAAGGCAGCCCCCUGGGUCAAGAUUGACGCUCAUGCACGAAAGCGUGGGGAGCAAACAGGAUUAGAUACCCUGGUAGUCCACGCCCUAAACGAUGUCUACUAGUUGUCGGGUCUUAAUUGACUUGGUAACGCAGCUA
rnacentral:rRNA from 1 species